CGGGCGUGCCUAAUACAUGCAAGUCGAGCAAGCUUGCCUAGAUGAUUUUAGUGCUUGCACUAAAUGAAACUAGAUACAAGCGAGCGGCGGACGGGUGAGUAACACGUGGGUAACCUGCCCAAGAGACUGGGAUAACACCUGGAAACAGAUGCUAAUACCGGAUAACAACACUAGACGCAUGUCUAGAGUUUGAAAGAUGGUUCUGCUAUCACUCUUGGAUGGACCUGCGGUGCAUUAGCUAGUUGGUAAGGUAACGGCUUACCAAGGCAAUGAUGCAUAGCCGAGUUGAGAGACUGAUCGGCCACAUUGGGACUGAGACACGGCCCAAACUCCUACGGGAGGCAGCAGUAGGGAAUCUUCCGCAAUGGGCGAAAGCCUGACGGAGCAAUGCCGCGUGGAGGUGGAAGGCCUACGGGUCGUCAACUUCUUUUCUCGGAGAAGAAACAAUGACGGUAUCUGAGGAAUAAGCAUCGGCUAACUCUGUG
rnacentral:rRNA from 1 species